rnacentral:rRNA from 1 species
GGUUGAUUCUGGCUCAGGACGAACGCUGGCGGCAUGCCUAACACAUGCAAGUCGAACGAGAAAGUCACUUCGGUGGUGAUUAAAGUGGCGCACGGGUGAGUAACGCGUAGACAAUCUGCCCUUCAGUCUGGGACAACUUUUCGAAAGGAGAGCUAAUACCGGAUAACAAUGUUUAACAUAAGUUAGAUAUUUGAAAGCUUUAUGUGCUGAGGGAGUGGUCUGCGUCCCAUUAGCUAGUUGGUAAGGUAAAGGCUUACCAAGGCAACGAUGGGUAGCGGGUUUGAGAGGACGAUCCGCCACACUGGAACUGAGACACGGUCCAGACUCCUACGGGAGGCAGCAGUGGGGAAUAUUGCACAAUGGAGGAAACUCUGAUGCAGCAAUGUCGCGUGAGUGAAGAAGGCCCUUGGGUCGUAAAGCUCUUUUAUGGGGGAAGAUGAUGACGGUACCCCAGGAAUAAGCACCGGCUAACUACGUGCCAGCAGCCGCGGUAAUACGUAGGGUGCGAGCGUUGUUCGGAAUUACUGGGCGUAAAGGGCGCGCAGGCGGAAUAGCAAGUCGGAGGUGAAAGCCCGGGGCUCAACCCCGGAGGGUCUUUCGAAACUGCUAAUCUAGAGAGGGUCAGGGGCCAGCAGAAUUCCUGGUGUAGAGGUGAAAUUCGUAGAUAUCA